rnacentral:rRNA from 1 species
UACGUAGGGUGCGAGCGUUGUCCGGAAUUAUUGGGCGUAAAGAGCUUGUAGGCGGUUUGUCGCGUCUGCUGUGAAAAUCCGGGGCUCAACCCCGGACUUGCAGUGGGUACGGGCAGACUGGAGUGUGGUAGGGGAGACUGGAAUUCCUGGUGUAGCGGUGGAAUGCGCAGAUAUCAGGAGGAACACCGAUGGCGAAGGCAGGUCUCUGGGCCGCAACUGACGCUGAGGAGCGAAAGCAUGGGGAGCGAACAGG